rnacentral:rRNA from 1 species
GCUUGCUUGUUGGGGUUGUAGGACACUCUAUACGGAGUUACAAAGGACGACAUUAGACGAAUCAUCUGGAAAGAUGAAUCAAAGAAGGUAAUAAUCCUGUAGUCGAAAAUGUUGUCUCUCUUGAGUGGAUCCUGAGUACGACGGAGCACGUGAAAUUCCGUCGGAAUCUGGGAGGACCAUCUCCUAAGGCUAAAUACUCUCUAGUGACCGAUAGUGAACCAGUACCGUGAGGGAAAGGUGAAAAGCACCCCGGAAGGGGAGUGAAAUAGAACCUGAAACCGUGUGCUUACAAGUAGUCAGAGCCCGUUAAUGGGUGAUGGCGUGCCUUUUGUAGAAUGAACCGGCGAGUUACGAUUUGAUGCAAGGUUAAGCAGUAAAUGUGGAGCCGUAGCGAAAGCGAGUCUGAAUAGGGCGUUUAGUAUUUGGUCGUAGACCCGAAACCAGGUGAUCUACCCUUGGUCAGGUUGAAGUUCAGGUAACACUGAAUGGAGGACCGAACCGACUUACGUUGAAAAGUGAGCGGAUGAACUGAGGGUAGCGGAGAAAUUCCA